AUGGCCUGUUCUGAUAUUCGGGAUUUGUGCGAGGAAGGAUCUAACGUUAGCAGCUCGAGAAAUAAUUGGCAGAAAGCAAGUCAGAAGAAUCACUGUGAGAGAAAAACUACUGUUAUGGAAUUUGAAUCAGACUGGAUACAGUAUAGAAAAUCAUCUGCUUAUACUGCUCAGGUUAUUCGUUCUGCAACAUCUUUUAUGCCUUGGUCUUGUAGAAUCCCAAUCGGUGAAGGAUUUUAUGAAUUUCUUUAG